rnacentral:rRNA from 1 species
UACGUAGGGUGCGAGCGUUGUCCGGAAUUAUUGGGCGUAAAGGGCUCGUAGGCGGUUUGUCGCGUCGGGAGUGAAAACUCAGGGCUUAACCCUGAGCCUGCUCCCGAUACGGGCAGACUAGAGGUAUGCAGGGGAGAACGGAAUUCCUGGUGUAGCGGUGAAAUGCGCAGAUAUCAGGAGGAACACCGGUGGCGAAGGCGGUUCUCCGGGCAUUACCUGACGCUGAGGAGCGAAAGUGUGGGGAGCGAACAGG